CUAAAUACCCUUUGUUCUUGUUGAUUUAAACAAUGAAAGUAUCAAGAUUACUGCUCCCUUGUAUUUCAGAAAUGCUCGUUGUGGAAGAACUUUAUAAAGAGGCGGUCUUGAACACUGAACGGAAACUGAUUAUAUUCAAUGGAGAACUCGAUCGCAUAAGAUCUGGAUAUUAUCCAUCAUUCUUCUACCCAAAGCUUGCUGCACUUACGAAGUCCUUCCUACCUAUGAUGGAAACUGUGUAUUACAUUCAUAAUUUCAAGGGCCGCAAUGGAGGAACACUUUUUAGGUCUGCUAGCUAAAUUAACUCCCAUUGGUCUAAUUAUGUUGGAAGGUCAUGCUUAGUAUUGCAGUAGCUUAGAGAAUUGGUCUAAUCAUUUGAUGCUAAUAAAAUCAUGGAAGAUGCAUCUUUUUUAUUGUGGACGUGGCUUCGGCACUUAGAGAAGGAUUUCAGCAUCAGCUACAAUCAUUGGUCCAGCAAUCUUAGAUCAGGGUUUGUGUAUUAGUUGUCGACAGUACAAUGUAUAGGUGCAAAAUACUGGUCACAUGUAAUCUAGGCUCUGGUUUCCAUCAAGACUACAUUAGUCUGACAAUGGAACCAUUGGUCUGUGGUCUUAUAAUGCACCGUUUGUAUAUUUAGUACCUCUGGUACUCAAUUAAUAUAUUAUCUAUUUUUGCUGAGCAAAAAAAA